CCUACGGGUGGCAGCAGUCGAGAAUCAUUCACAAUGGGGGAAACCCUGAUGGUGCGACGCCGCGUGGGGGAAUGAAGGUCUUCGGAUUGUAAACCCCUGUCAUGUGGGAGCAAAUUAAAAAGAUAGUACCACACGAGGAAGAGACGGCUAACUCUGUGCCAGCAGCCGCGGUAAUACAGAGGUCUCAAGCGUUGUUCGGAAUCACUGGGCGUAAAGCGUGCGUAGGCUGUUUCGUAAGUCGUGUGUGAAAGGCGCGGGCUCAACCCGCGGACGGCACAUGUUACUGCGAGACUAGAGUAAUGGAGGGGGAACCGGAAUUCUCGGUGUAGCAGUGAAAUGCGUAGAUAUCGAGAGGAACACUCGUGGCGAAGGCGGGUUCCUGGACAUUAACUGACGCUGAGGCACGAAGGCCAGGGGAGCGAAAGGGAUUAGAUACCCGUGUAGUC
rnacentral:rRNA from 1 species